UCGGAUUUUUGCCACAUUUUCUGGCAUAACUGCUGUUUUUGGGCGACCACUGCGUUCAGCGUCUUUGGUGUCCACACGACCACGUUUAAAUUCAUUGUACCAAUCUUUGAUGGUUGAUUUUCCCGGAGAAGAAUCUGGGUAAUGUUUAUCAAGCCAAGCUUUUGCUUCUACUGUAUUUUUUCCUAUAAAAAAACAGUGCUUAAUCAGGACACGAAACUCCUUUUUUUCCAUAUUGUAGAAAAACCCAAAGGUUGUAUUACUUAAAAAUUUGUAACUUAAAAGCACGUGGUCACAGAGUUGUAUAAUUUUUACACAGAGCUUAUGAUAAUCGACACUUUCGAUAAAAAAUAUCUAUAUUUGCUUACUACU